rnacentral:rRNA from 1 species
CCGCGCCCGUCCCGCCGCCCCCGCCCGCCUNCGGGAGGCAGCAGUAGGGAAUCUUCCGCAAUGGGCGAAAGCCUGACGGAGCAACGCCGCGUGAGUGAUGAAGGGUUUCGGCUCGUAAAACUCUGUUAUUAGGGAAGAACAAACGUGUAAGUAACUGUGCACGUCUUGACGGUACCUAAUCAGAAAGCCACGGCUAACUACGUGCCAGCAGCCGCGGUAAUACGUAGGUGGCAAGCGUUAUCCGGAAUUAUUGGGCGUAAAGCGCGCGUAGGCGGUUUCUUAAGUCUGAUGUGAAAGCCCACGGCUCAACCGUGGAGGGUCAUUGGAAACUGGGAAACUUGAGUGCAGAAGAGGAAAGUGGAAUUCCAUGUGUAGCGGUGAAAUGCGCAGAGAUAUGGAGGAACACCAGUGGCGAAGGCGACUUUCUGGUCUGUAACUGACGCUGAUGUGCGAAAGCGUGGGGAUCAAACAGGAUUAGAUACCCUGGUAGUCCACGCCGUAAACGAUGAGUGCUAAGUGUUAGGGGGUUUCCGCCCCUUAGUGCUGCAGCUAACGCAUUAAGCNCCC